rnacentral:tRNA from 1 species
GCGGAAGUAGUUCAGUGGUAGAACAUCACCUUGCCAAGGUGCCGCUAGAGGUUUAGAACACCGUCUUCCGCU